UAGCAUUCAGUUUUAGCAUGUUUUUAUUUAUAUACAUGCAUAUCGAGUUUUUGUAAGUUGCUUACUCACCUGCGGUAAGAGUAGCUAUCGAGUUUUUGCUUUACUUGUUGUUUUCUGUGAUGAAUGCCGUAAGGAGCCUGUUGUGAGGUUGUUGCCGUGAGUCUCAAAAGGGAACGAAGAAGGGAAACAGAUUGUAUUUCUUUGAAUUGAAGUUUGAAUUCGGUGGAUAAGAUUAGUAGCUUGUGAUCCCUUGCUAUGA